rnacentral:rRNA from 1 species
CCAAUAGCGUAUAUUAAAGUUGUUGCAGUUAAAAAGCUCGUAGUUGAAUUUUAGGCCUGGCCGGGCGGUCCGUCUUUGGCGAGUACUGUCUUGUCGUCGGGUCUUCCUUCUGGUGAACCAGUAUGUCCUUUAUUGGGUGUGUUGGGGAGCCAGGACCAUUACCUUGAAAAAAUUAGAGUGUUUAAAGCGGGCUAUUGCUUGAAUAGAUUAGCAUGGAAUAAUAGAAUAGGACGUUGUGGUUCUAUUUUGUUGGUUUCUAGGACCACCGUAAUGAUUAAUAGGGAUAGUUUGGGGCAUUAGUAUUCAAUUGUCAGAGGUGAAAUUCUUGGAUUUAUUGAAGACUAACUAUUGCGAAAGCAUUUGCCAAGGAUGUUUUCAUUAAUCAAGAACGAAAGUUAGGGGAUCGAAGACGAUCAGAUACCGUCGUAGUCUUAACCAUAAACUAUGCCGACUAGGAAUCGGGCGUCGUUAUUUUCACGACUCGCUCGGCGCCUUAUG